rnacentral:rRNA from 1 species
CCUACGGGAGGCAGCAGUGGGGAAUAUUGGGCAAUGGGCGCAAGCCUGACCCAGCAAAGCCGCGUGAAGGAAGAAGGCUUUCGGGUUGUAAACUUCUUUUUUCAGGGACGAAGCACGUGAUGGUACCUGAGGUAUAAGCCACGGCUAACUCCGUACCAGCAGCCGGGGUUAUACGUAGGUGGCAAGCGUUAUCCGGAAUUCCUGGGGGAAAAGGGCGUGUAGGGGGUACUGCAAGUCAGAUGUGAAAACCACGGGCUCAACCUGAGGUCUGCAUUUGAAACUGUAGUUCUUGAGUACUGGAGAGGCAGACGGAAUUCCUAGUGUAGCGGUGAAAGGCGUAGAUAUUAGGAGGAACACCAGUGGCGAAGGCGGUCUGCUGGACAGCAACUGACGCUGAGGCGCGAAAGCGUGGGGAGCAAACAGGAUUAGAUACACUUGUAGUC